AGGACCCUAUGGAACAUCGGAAAUCCAUAAAAAUAUACUCUCAGUCUUUUUUUCCCCAGCUUUAUUGAUGUAUAACUAACAAAUAAAGUUGUGUAUAUUUAAGAUGUACAACAUGAUCAUCUGAUAUACGCACACACUGUAAAAUCAUUGCCAUAAUCAAAUUAAUGAAUUCAUCCAAUACACCCUCAGUCUUAAAGCUGACAGACGACCAUGUGGCUAUUUGAACUGAAGGUGAAAAGAUGUCCUUAGAGGUCCCAAGCUCUGGAAGUUCGGAGAUUUCAUUUUGUAAAGGUGAGGGGGGUGCAUUACAUAACUCACAUUUACGGCUGCUUUUCAUUACUGUUGUUAUCUUAAACAGCCCUUGUGCACACAUCCACUAGCCUGCACGGUCAGAUUUCACCCCUCUGGAUGGGAGCUCUUCUCUGUCUCCACACCAGCAUAGGAAACGUAUUUUUAAGAGAAGGAAGGAAAAGAAACUCUCAGGAGAGCUUGAAAGUCAGAUGUUUCCUAACUUCUAUGCUCUAAACCUGGGCGUGUGGAGAUUAGCAGGGACUGUUGUCACAAUUUUUCAUUUGAGAAAAGGGUCAGAGGAGUCAAAGGAUUUGCCCAAGAUCAUUCAGCCACUGCACGUGGCAGAGCCAGGAUUUGAACAAGGGCUGCUGCAGUCCAGGGCCCAUUCCUAUUCCAAGGCCCCAGGCUGCCUUUUUGAAGAAAGACUUGUGGAUGGAGGUACACAACUUCCUUUGUCAAUUGCGGGACCAUGACGUAAGUGAGGUCUUUUGACUCACAAACAUGAUAACUAGCUUGGAGGAGGACAGGAAGGCUGCUGUGCCAGCCCACGUUGCAGCCCAGUGACAUUUCCAGCUAAAGGCCGAGCACACCAACCUAUCCAGAAGUGACUGCCAGCCAGAGUCCCACCAGUCAGAAUUCCAGCGAUAUAUGGGGUAGGUAAGGCAGCACCCACUGCCUACCAUCACUGACGCCUUUGCGCUGCUUCCUUCCUCACCCGCCCAUCUCUGCUGAGGCCUCCUUCACCUUAGUUUCCCCCUAGUUGUGAGACUUUAAAGUUCUCUGGCUCAGCUGGUCUUGGAAUUUCCUUCUAGUUCUAGGAUCUCUUAGUCCCGGAGCAUGUCUCUCUCGAGGAAGACUUCCUGACGGAAGCUAAGUAAGCACAGGCCAGUUUUGGUGGAAACACUUUAAAGUCUUCCUUUCGGCCCUAAAGGUUACCUAUAAGUUGAGGUGGUUUCCAGGAUGAUUUGAGCAAAUUCAUGACAGCAAAAGAAGUGUCAUUAAUGUAUAGCAGAGUGUUCAUUUCCUCAUAUAAAUGGCACUGCAAGGGUACUUUGAAUAAUCAAUCUUUGUAUAAUUGGAAAUGAUGGGUCUUCUGCUUUCUCAGCCUCUCUGGAAAAAUGCAGGAGCCAUACUAUGGAUUAAAAUUAAAUAUGCUACCUAUAAGGAGGCAAUGUCACAAUGCAAUGGACAAGGUAUUGCCUUGGUGGCUGAUUAUGACACAUUCUUCUCUCUUCUCUUAUCAUUAUGCUCUUCAGCAAAUCCACCACACUGAAAGAAAAGGAAGUACUUUUCACAUGAGAAUGACCCAGAUCAGAUUUAAUUUAUCAAUCUUGGGAAUGGGAUUCAGAGGGAGAAAAAUGAAGCUUGCUUACACCCUUUCCUAAAAGUUCCGCUGAAAUAAAGGGCAAGUUUGCACAAGAUGGGGUUUUUCUGAGUAUAAGGCUGUCAUUCCCAGCUCUCUCUGAAGCCAGUGUAGCUAUGUGACCCAGUUCUGGCCAAGGAGACACGAGGACCAUCUGUUACUCUUCACCAUGAAGUCAUAGUACUAAAUUUGUGACAGUACAAUCAUUUCCAUGGCAACAGGAUGUGGUCUUCACCACUGAAUCCAGAUUUCACUCUGACCAAGAUCAAGCAGCAGAAAGACUGGGGAGUGUAUUCCGACAUUUUCUAUUCUUUUUCAAGUUUAGUUUCUCUCUGAAAUUUUUACUUUUGAUUCUAAAAUCAUAUACUCAGCCUGGAUGUGUGUUUUUGCAUAGUUUACGUAUGAAGCAUUGGUCCAGUAAAUCAUCAGAUAUGCAAGCUAAAAAAUAAUGAGUUGAGAAAUAUCACACAAAUCUACACACACACACACACACGCACAAUGAUGUAUAAACUUUCAUGAAAGUGGGAUGAUUAGCAAAUGCCUUUCUGGUUUGUACAGAAGAAAAGAGAACAAGGAAUCCACUUAAGAGACAUGAAACUUCUAAGCCUAAGAAAUUUGCUUUGAUGACUGUGAUAAGCAGUGCAAGGAAACUGACCCUGUUCCUACUCAAUGGUUUCCUUAUCUUGCUUAGGACAAGUAAGACAUAAAAGAGUCUUCCCGUGUACCUGCAGACCUCUCCAGAGGAAGAUAGACAGAAGGGCAGCUUUAUUCAUAUAAAUGACCAACACCUGGGUAUUUUGUCCAUUUGCUUUAAUCUCACACAGCUUACUUACAGAGUCUUUGGAGAAACUCCUUAGAACACCAUUUGCGAUUCCAUGGAACUGAGUAAAGGGCUUGAAUUUUUAAGAACACUAGUUCCUAGAGUAUCAGAAGAAAAUACCUGAUUGGUGCAUUAGCCUAGCAAUUUUAUGCGAAAGACCGUAACAGGCAAAGACUGCUAUAAUGAGGCUACGUUGGACACACCACAUAAUAUAUAUAUAAAAGAUAUGUUAUAUGUUAGACAUCAUAUAAUAUCUUAUGUGUAUGUGCAUAUCACAGAGAAAAAAAUGUAACAAGUGAGAAUGGACAAUAUUCCCUCUUACUCUGUUCUCCCCGGCUUCCUUGUUGAGUUGAUGGGAUAAGUAGCGGCAGACAAUGGGGAGAAAUGGUGAUAAAGGGUAGAAGGAACUGGAGGA